CUGAGCCGGUGGCACCGCACAGCUGAAGGAGCCUGCGCCCUUGAGUUUACUGCUUAGUGGAAAACUGUUCAGAAAACCUAUGAACCGAGAACAGCCACAUCAGACGUUUCACAGAUGAGAAACAAACCUUUACUCCGGUUGGGGAGCAAUCUUGGACCACAUGGAAGACGGCAACUACUCAGGACAGCAGAACAAGCAGGAGAAGAAGCCUGGGUGACUGACACCUGGGGCCAGCUGAGCUCAUCUGCAGUUGGCUAUGCCCAGACUCUUAUGUGGGAAAGAAAAUAAACU